rnacentral:piRNA from 1 species
UACAUCCAUUCGUUUAAAAGUUCAUCGUUC